UACGGGGGGGGUAAGCGUUGUUCGGAAUUACUGGGCGUAAAGGGCUCGUAGGCGGCCAACUAAGUCAGACGUGAAAUCCCUCAGCUUAACUGGGGAACUGCGUCUGAUACUGGAUGGCUUGGAUUUGGGAGAGGGAUGCGGAAUUCCAGGUGUAGCGGUGAAAUGCGUAGAUAUCUGGAGGAAUACCGGUGGCGAAGGCGGCAUCCUGGACCGGCAUUGACGCUGAUGAGCGAAAGCCAGGGGAGCAAACGGG
rnacentral:rRNA from 1 species